rnacentral:ncRNA from 12 species
GCCCUCGUCGUGUCCGGUAGUAGUAAUACCCGGGCGGUCAGCUUACAGACCGUAGGAGCACGUAACGGGGGCUU